rnacentral:rRNA from 1 species
GUUAAGCGACUAAGCGUACACGGUGGAUGCCCUGGCAGUCAGAGGCGAUGAAGGACGUGCUAAUCUGCGAUAAGCGUCGGUAAGGUGAUAUGAACCGUUAUAACCGGCGAUUUCCGAAUGGGGAAACCCAGUGUGUUUCGACACACUAUCAUUAACUGAAUCCAUAGGUUAAUGAGGCGAACCGGGGGAACUGAAACAUCUAAGUACCCCGAGGAAAAGAAAUCAACCGAGAUUCCCCCAGUAGCGGCGAGCGAACGGGGAGCAGCCCAGAGCCUGAAUCAGUGUGUGUGUUAGUGGAAGCGUCUGGAAAGGCGCGCGAUACAGGGUGACAGCCCCGUACACAAAAAUGCACAUGCUGUGAGCUCGAUGAGUAGGGCGGGACACGUGGUAUCCUGUCUGAAUAUGGGGGGACCAUCCUCCAAGGCUAAAUACUCCUGACUGACCGAUAGUGAACCAGUACCGUGAGGGAAAGGCGAAAAGAACCCCGGCGAGGGGAGUGAAAAAGAACCUGAAACCGUGUACGUACAAGCAGUGGGAGCACGCUUAGGCGUGUGACUGCGUACCUUUUGUAUAAUGGGUCAGCGACUUAUAUUCUGUAGCAAGGUUAACCGAAUAGGGGAGCCGAAGGGAAACCGAGUCUUAACUGGGCGUUAAGUUGCAGGGUAUAGACCCGAAACCCGGUGAUCUAGCCAUGGGCAGGUUGAAGGUUGGGUAACACUAACUGGAGGACCGAACCGACUAAUGUUGAAAAAUUAGCGGAUGACUUGUGGCUGGGGGUGAAAGGCCAAUCAAACCGGGAGAUAGCUGGUUCUCCCCGAAAGCUAUUUAGGUAGCGCCUCGUGAAUUCAUCUCCGGGGGUAGAGCACUGUUUCGGCAAGGGGGUCAUCCCGACUUACCAACCCGAUGCAAACUGCGAAUACCGGAGAAUGUUAUCACGGGAGACACACGGCGGGUGCUAACGUCCGUCGUGAAGAGGGAAACAACCCAGACCGCCAGCUAAGGUCCCAAAGUCAUGGUUAAGUGGGAAACGAUGUGGGAAGGCCCAGACAGCCAGGAUGUUGGCUUAGAAGCAGCCAUCAUUUAAAGAAAGCGUAAUAGCUCACUGGUCGAGUCGGCCUGCGCGGAAGAUGUAACGGGGCUAAACCAUGCACCGAAGCUGCGGCAGCGACGCUGAUGCGUUGUUGGGUAGGGGAGCGUUCUGUAAG